AGAAUCAACGCUGGCGGCGUGCCUAACACAUGCAAGUCGAACGAGAAAGUGGAGCAAUCCAUGAGUAAAGUGGCGACCGGGUGAGUAACACGUGACUAACCUACCUUUCAGUGGGGAAUAACCUCGGGAAACCGGGGCUAAUACCGCAUAAUGUCUUCGGACCAAAGGAGCAAUUCGCUGGAAGAGGGGGUCGCGGCCGAUUAGCUAGUUGGCGGGGUAACGCCCACCAAGGCAAUGAUCGGUAGCCGGCCUGAGAGGGCGCACGGCCACACUGGAACUGAAACACGGUCCAGACUCCUACGGGAGGCAGCAGUGGGGAAUUUUGCGCAAUGGGGGAAACCCUGACGCAGCAACGCCGCGUGGAGGAUGAAGCCCCUUGGGGUGUAAACUCCUUUCGAUCGGGACGAUUAUGACGGUACCGGAUGAAGAGCACCGGCUAACUCUGCGCCAGCAGCCGC
rnacentral:rRNA from 1 species